GCUCGAAUGGCAGAUUAAUGUGCUUGGUUUAGGUCCAAGUAAUGGGGCUUUAAACCCCUUCGGGCU
rnacentral:tRNA from 3 species